AGGAUGACUUUGACUGACACGUUCAGAGAAAGGCUCUGCUUGACCCGCUAGAAAGGCGCGCGCUCUGCAGGGGCCGUGCGGGUCGGGACCGCCCUCCGGCUCCCGCAGACCCUCCCUCGCGGGGUGGCGGUGCGUCUCCAAGGUCGCUCCCAGCACGGGCGUCCAGCCGUGUGCACCUGGCAGGUUGCUAAGGUGAGACCCCCCCCCUCCCGGCCCUGGGGAGUGAAGAUUAGAGCCCAAUUUCCUCCGUGCCAGUACUCUCCGGCCAGAAUUCUUGCGUUUUAGACGCACGUGGUGCUCAGGGUUUUGUUUUUUUUUAAUCAAAGAUCUUAUUAGGGAAGCCUAUUAAUAAGCCCCAAAUCAGAGACGUGCUGAGGUCCCCUCGUCUUAUCCAACUGCAACCACAGAGCGACAGCAAGUGAGAAACCUAGCACACGCUACACAGCAAGGAGUGGCUGUCGCCUGGGCCUUGCUCCUCACAGCGCAGGCGACUGGACUGGACAGGCCACCAGCACCACUGCCGGGAGUUCACGCGCUCCCGGGGGUCCCCGCACCUUCCAUUCCUGUGGGACAUGGGACAGAACGCUCCUUCCAACGUCCUUUUCUAACGGGAGAAGAGCCCUCCCUAUGUUCUCUCUUUCUGAGGAUCACACUCACAAUAAAGGCUUCGGAUCAACAAACCUGCUGAACUUAGCCCAGCAUUUCCCAAAUUUACAAGGAUACCUUUCCCAAGAGUGGAAGAACUGAAAGAGAUGUUUUGGCUGUUGGUUCCAAGAAACUGUUUUCCUGUUCAGAGGGGAAAGAUUCCCCAAUGUGCUGAGUGCUACCACCCGCUGACGACAACUUGACACACUCCUACCUGAUGAAGCAGUGAGCCCUAACGGUGUGCGGCCACCUCGUCUGGGUGGCUUCGGGAGCUUUUGCGUUUUAUUAAUGUAAUAAAAUGUAGCUUCUACAGUUAUCUACAGUGCGUAAUUA